GGAACUUGCCUUGUCUCAGAGACUGCCUUUUGUUCUCAGUUUCAAACCCCUGGAAUCAUCUGAUUGGUUCGCUUAAAAGUCCACCUUCGUCCAAUUGGUUUUCUCAAAGAGGACAGAUUUGCACAUGGCAAACGUGACUCAUGAACAAAUUCUCUAUGUGUCCCCAUGAAUGAAAGGCCAGUUGCUAGAGAAAGAAAAUCAUAUAUUGGGCAGAUGCCUAAAAGUUGUUACCUGAUGACUGUGAGAGAGAGGAGAAGCAGUAAACUUUUAGUGGAAAAUGAAUAAAUAAAAGGACAUCAGGACGAGAUGCAAAGGAAAGAUGAGAAGAUGAUGACUUUGAAUCAGAAUGGCAGAGAGAUUUGAAGUCAACAAUCACAGAAGAAUCAUCCAUAAUUUAGUGGGUAAUCUCUCUACUCUUGGUCUCAAGUGGACAUUGAGUAAGUAUUACCAGAUACAUAUAUGUUUCAGAUGUGUAGAUUUAUAGUAUAUACUUGCAUCAGGAUUAGGCAGUAUGAGAUUCAACCUAUGAAUAUUUUCCCACUUCUGUUACUUCUUCUACAUUUAUAAAUCAAGAGUAACACAAAAAUUCAUUUCAUAAUACAUUAUUUUGAUAUUCUUUCAUCAUUUGAAUGAAAAGCAGCUUAUAUUUAAAAGGGAGAGAAGAAAAAAAACCAACUAACCUUGAGUUUCUGCUGAAGUAGCUGAGGAUCCAAGAUGCUCUAGGCUGCAAGCUGAAGUUUGAAGAAAAUUCAGCCUGCUGACUUUUAUCCUCUCUUUUGGACAAGAUGACUGUGGGCAAUUUGGGCCUCUGGCUAUGAAACAUGAACCUGUCUAUCCGCGUUAUUAAUGGAUACUUGAUGGGAUGAGCUAACAAUGACUUUGGUUUCUUUGAAAAAAGGAAAUUUCUUGAGAUAGGAAAAGCCAAAUAAACAGAAAUACGGUGACAACAACUAACAUUUAUAGACUGCUUAUGAUGUGCUAAGCAUUGUAUUAAGUACUUUAAAUGGUUUAUUUAAUUUAAUACUUACAGUCAAUCUAUGACAUGCAUACUAUCAUUACCCCUAUUUUAUAGAUGAGAAAAUCAAGGUUUCAAGAAGUUAAGUAACUACUCAAGCUCACAUUAGCUAGAAAUAGAGUAGAACUGAAAUUUUGCUCUAUAUACUUUAGAACCAUCAUUUUCCUAUAGACCUUAACAUAUUAUAUUUUGCUGCAUCCUUCAUGUGGAGAAUGAAAUUCCAGGCCAAUCAACAAGUCAUGAAAGUAAGCCCUCCUCUCUCCGGGUUAAAAUAUAAUUGGACUUGGCCAGGCGCGGUGGCUCACGCCUGUAAUCCCAGCACUUUGGGAGGCAGAGGUGGGCGGAUCAUGAGGUCAGGAGAUCGAGACUAUCCUGGCUAACACAGUGAAACCCCGC
rnacentral:lncRNA from 1 species